UAGGGAAUCUUCCACAAUGGGCGCAAGCCUGAUGGAGUAACACCGCGUGAGUGAAGAAGGGUUUCGGCUCGUAAAGCUCUGUUGUUAAAGAAGAACACGUAUGAGAGUAACUGUUCAUACGUUGACGGUAUUUAACCAGAAAGUCACGGCUAACUACGUGCCAG
rnacentral:rRNA from 1 species